rnacentral:rRNA from 1 species
UAAAGGGCCGCGGUAAUUUGACCGUGCGAAGGUAGCAUAAUCAAUAGUCUUUUAAUUGGAGGCUGGAAUGAAUGGUUGGACAAGAAGAGAGCUGUCUCUAUUUUAAUUUUGGAAUUUUACUUUUAAGUGAGAAGGCUUAAAUAACUUAGUGGGACGAUAAGACCCUGUAAAGCUUUUACAUGAGGGAGUUAAUAAUUAUAUUGGUUGUGUAACGAGGAUUAGCUUGGUUAUUGUUUGGCUGGGGCGGCUUUAAUAAAAUUUGUAACUGUUAAAAAAAAUGUAUACAUUUAUGUAGAAAGUGAACCUUUAAUAAGGAUUAAAAGAUUAAGUUACUUCAGGGAUAACAGCGUAAUUUUCUUUGAGAGUUCAUAUCGACAGGAGUAGUUGCGACCUCGAUGUUGAAUUUAAGACUUCCUUUAGGUGUAGCAGCUUUAAGGGUGGGUCUGUUCGACCUUUAAAGUCUUACGUGAUCUGAGUUCAGACCGGA